UCUCACCAGCAUUCUCAUCCUGCUUAUGAAUCUUCCAACAUAAUUUCACAGCAAAACCAAAUAUUAUCUCCUUUUAUUCAUGAGUUAGUCCUAAAUCCUUUUCUUCGGUUUUAAUAACCCUUCUCCACCACCAUUGUUGGGCUACGCAACAUGAACAGUUUCUUCAAGAUCUCCCCAGAUAAAAAGCCCCCAAUAUCGUGAACUUAUCUAGUAGAAGUCUGAAAAACUAUCAAAUAGGGAAUCAGAUGACGACAUCAAGGAGUUUUGAGAGGAAAAUAA
rnacentral:lncRNA from 1 species